GUACCGGCCAUCGAGUUCCGUGUGCUGUCACAGGUGCGGAACGAGAGGGAACCCGGUGAAAAUCCGGGACUGUCCCGCAGCGGUAUGCAGGAACGACCGCCGUCAUCAGCACUGGCCCCGCCUAGGGGCUGGGAAGCGACGGCCAGUAGGUGUGCGUCAGCGCACGCGCCUGUGAGUCCGAAGACCUGCCAGCCGUACCGGAUGCGCC
rnacentral:ncRNA from 20 species